rnacentral:lncRNA from 1 species
CUGUUGCAUACUCCCUUGUAUACAGAAGUACUUACAGAAAGCAGUAGAUAAGACUAUAGUUGACGUGACUCCUACUUUCCUACAUCAGGACGUCACAGACCUCGAAGAUGACACUCCACAUACACCCCUUCAAGCACAUCAGUUCAAACAGACAACUGCUUUCCUGUAGGGAUAGUAUAGGGAAAGCAUCUGUCUUGGCAGGCGAGUCUCACGUGUGGAGAUGUAGUGGAUUAGCCGCUGCGGGUUACCCACGGAGUGAAGUGUUCG